CUAAGCCAAUGAAUCGUUAUGCUGUUUCUGCGCGCCUUAUUUCAAAAGUUAAACUAUAUGUCAAGAUCAUCAACCAUCCAAAGAAAUUUUGUCCCAAUUCUUCUCAUAAAGCCCUUCAAAUCUUUGUUGCGCUUUGUAAAAUACUCUACAUUAAGUGCUCCCAGUUGUAAUUCAGUCCUGAAUUAUCACAUAAAAAACGGAAAACUCGAUGAAGCAAGAGCAAUUUUUGACAAAAUUAUAACACCGGAUGUGUACUUAUGCACUAGGAUGUUAUCUGGGUAUUUGGAAAAUCGUAGAUUCGAUGAAGCAUUGGAACUGUUUGAUGAAAUCCCUGUGAAAGACAUAGUAACAUGGAAUUUAAUGAUGAAGGGGUGUUUCGAUUGUGGGGAAGUUGAGAUGGGUUUGACACUGUUUGAUGCAAUGCCUGAGAGGAAUGUGAUUUCCUGGACUACUUCGAUGAGCGGAUUGUUAAAAGUUGGACUAGUUGAAGAGGCUGAGAGGUUGUUUUUGGGGAUGCCUGUGAGGGAUGUAGCAGCAUGGAAUGCAAUAAUCUAUGGGUAUUUUGCAAAUGGAAGAGUGGACGAUGCGAUGAAGUUAUUCAACAUGAUGCCUUCUAGGAAUGUCAUAUCAUGGACCUCGAUGAUUAGUGGGCUUGAUCAGCAUGGGAGGACUGAUGAGGCUCUGUUGAUGUUUGCAAAGAUGGUGGGGUUUGGGAUUGUGCCCUCUUCCAGUACUUUUUCCAGCGUAAUUACAGCUUGUGCAAAUAUGUUAGACUUAUAUCUAGGUGUUCAAGUGCAUGGGUACAUAUUGAAGUUGGGAUGCCUUUUUGAUGCAUAUGUCAGUGCUUCUCUUGUCACUUUUUAUGCUAAUUGCAAGAAAAUGGAUGAUUCUCUUAAAGUAUUUAAUGAGAAGCUGCACAUGAAUGUAGCUGUAUGGACAUCCCUUUUGACGGGAUAUGGUAUGAACAGCAUGUAUGAAGAGGCAUUGAAUGUUGUGGUGUCCAUGUACAGAAAUGGGGUUCUUCCAAAUCAAUCUUCUUUUACAAGUGCUUUAAAUUGUUGUUCUGAAAUGGAAGAUGUUGAUCAGGGUAAAGAAAUGCAUGGUGCAGCAGUCAAGCUUGGAUUGAACACUGAUGCUUUUGUGGGUAAUUCUCUAGCUGUAUUGUAUUCUAAGUGUGGAAAUUUAAAGGACGGGAUAGUCAUAUUCAAGGAGAUUUCAGACAAAAACAUAGUAUCAUGGAAUACCAUUAUUGUUGGAUGCGCACAACACGGAUGUGGUAAGUGGGCACUCACCUUUUUUGGCCAAAUGGUACGUGCACGAGUGUGCCCUGAUGAUAUUACAUUCACAGGUUUGCUCUCAGCUUGUAGCCAUAGUGGUAUGCUUCAGAAAGGAAGAUAUUUCUUUGAUUAUCUACGGCAACACAAAACCAUGGAGGUGAAGCUUGAGCACUAUGCUUGUAUGUUGGAUGUACUCUGCCGAUGUGGAGAAUUGGAAGAAGCAGAGAAUUUGAUAAGAAACAUGCCCAUGAGACCAAAUUUGUCAAUGUGGCUUUCUCUCCUAAAUGGUUGCAGGAAAGAUUGUAAUUUAGAUUUAGCUGAAAGAGUCGCAAAAGAUGUUUUCUCUUUAGAUCCAGAUUGUAGCUCUGCUUAUGUAUUGUUGUCCAACAUGUAUGCUUAUGCUGGUAGAUGGGAGGAUGUUGCAAGAACUAGGGUGCAAAUGAAAAAAAGGAGAACGAUUAAACAGCCUGGAUGCAGUUGGGUGACUCAAAAAGGUGUGCGACACAUAUUUGUGUCUGGUGAUAAGUCACAUCCUCUGAGCAGCAAAAUUUAUCAAAAGUUAGAGUGGUUAGGGGAAAAGUUGAAGGAGUAUGGGUAUGUCCCUGAUCGAAGGUUGGCUUUACAUGAUGUGGAGGAUGAACAAAAAGAAUCAAUCUUGUCAUAUCAUAGUGAGAGGCUUGCUAUUUGCUUUGCACUCAUUGACAGUGAGGAGAGAAGUGCUAUAACAGUAAUGAAGAAUCUACGUGUGUGUGAGGAUUGCCACUCUGCCAUCAAGGUAAUAGCAAUAAUUGCUAAUCGUGAAAUCAUUCUUCGAGAUUCUACUCGCUUUCAUCAUUUCAGGGAUGGGUUAUGUUCCUGCAGGGACUGCUGGUAGUAUGAUCAAGACAAGAUUAAGCUCCUCUCCAUACAAAAUCACCUCCAGUUCUCCUAAGUAUAGGCUUUCAUUGUUGUUGACAUGUGUACUUAGCCAAUAUCAAUAGCUUAUGUGAUUUUGGUUGGCCCUGAUAGUUAACUUUGGUUGGGUAGCUGUGGUUAAGGUUGCUUAGUAAAGUCUCCAUCUCUCCACGAUUAUCAUAUCUCUGAAAAGCAUAUCAAAAUCCAAUUAGCUGAAGAUCAAUAGCAUCCUUUGACAUUUCCAUCCUAUUUUGAUACAUAAUUGAUUGGAAAAUGUGGAGGAAGACAGAUUGGCUUUUGGCCCUAAACUUCCACGUCUGACUAAAAAGCCAAGGUCGCACAGGAUAAGAAGAAGAAGACAAAGAAGGAGAAAAAUAUGUCUCAAUUGAUUUCACCAAUAUAACAGGUUUAUGGAAAGUUCCCCGAAGGAAAUGGGGAACAAUUACAUUGGCAUCUGACAGGCUAGCUCAUCUUUUCCAACUGAAAUCUGGGAGUGGACUUUGACUCGAUUCAAAGAUGCACAUACUUGCUAUGAAGCUAUGCUGCAGCUGUUAAUUUUAGUAUUCGAAAAUAAUACGAAUCAGGAAAGUACAUGAUAGUCCCCGUUCGGAUUGCUAUUUUCAGGAGUUUUUGCAGGAAAAAAGUACUGUAGCGAUUUGAUGUAUGUGAAAUAAAAAGGUAAUUAGGAAAUGUGUUAAUGGAAAACGUAAAAAUUUUUCUGUGAAAAAUCACAAUCCAAACAAAUGUAAAUGCGUUGUUGGAAAGAAGGCUACAAGUAAAGAUUGAGGGAUUUUCUGGUGAAGAAACCAAGCAAGGAAACUUGAACGGAUCUCCAGUCAUGUAAUCAUCCAGCUGUUCCAGCAUGGCAGAGAUCAGGUUACUUCUUUCGAAGCUAAGCAUAACCACCAUCUUGUUUCAUCAUAAAUGUCUUGCUUAUUGCCAUCAAACCUAAACAACGCGCUCGAUCUGUUGAACUGGACUUAGCCAAUUAAUGAUGCAAGAGUACAACCCAAAGAAGCUCAUCUCUCUGCACAAGCUUGGGGUGAGAAUUUGUGGGAUUUACUAGAAGAAACAUUAAUGUAUAUUCAGUAACAGUGACAAAAAUGACUUGAAACAUGGGAAGUCUUUUAGCUUGUCAGUGUAUUUUUCGAACUCAUUGACUAAAAGAUCCUUGAUCAUUUUAGUCAUAUCCCUUGACCCUUUUGACAGAACUAUGGA